UGGCUGCACCUUGCUCAAGCUGUUUUCGCUCCGGGACGAUCACACUUUUUCACAGCUCAGAUUGGCAUGUUGGUGAACUUAUUAGCUUAGAUUUCACGUUAUUCAUGCCUAUACAUGAGCUGCAUACAACUGCUCUAAUCGGUAGGAUGUGGACGGACAUUGCAUUCAUUCCCAUUCAGCCGUUGGACUGAACCUGUACUGAUGUCUGUAACACAGUAUGGAUGGUCAAUAUGAAGCGAGCUUCAUUGAAUUCCUCCAAGAGCUCUGUACUCCGUUCUGACCAUUUUGAAGAUGGUUGCUUUGACAGGACUGGGCAAGUGACUCGUCUUAGACAGGAUGCUGUCCCAACCAUGUUUGAUUUCCUGCCUCGUCUUCAGAAGAAUUCACCCAAGCCAAGGAAUUCCCCGAAAGAAAGACGUUUUGAUUCAGCAAACAACCUCCCAGAUACUGCAAAGUCUUCAGCACCUUCAUUUCUCGAGGACCACUCCUACUCAAUAUCAGAAAGUCCAAGAGGGGUAAAGUGGAAGAUAACAGCAAUAAUGGAAUGUAUUAAGAACUUGGAGAAGAGGCUGAAACCACACACGAGAAGUCCCGCCGUGUACAUUACUUGCUCUUAAGUUUGGACAAACAUAACUUGCAAAACUUUACAACAAAUAAUUACCCCAAUGUGCAUUCUGAUUAUUUAAAAUAGCUCAAUGAAAUAGUUUAUCAGUGGGCAUGUAACAAAAGUGAAUUCAUUAAAUUUGAACGUGUUGCAAAAAUGAUGUCUUACAGUAUAUUCAUUCUGACUUAGAAUGUCAGAAGAGAAAAAAGUUUGUGAAAAGUAGGAAUGACGGCAAGAUGACAGAAGAAUAGAACAGGAUAGAGCAAGGGGGACAGAUAAAGGACAAGUCCACCCCAAAAAUUGUUGAUAUGAAUAAAAAGAGAAAAAUCCAACAAGCAUAACACUGAAAAUUUGAUAAAAAAUCGGAUGUAAAAUAAGAAAGUUAUGACAUUUAAAAAUUUUGCUAAAUUUUACAAAAGAGUUAUAUGCACAUUCUGUACACAGUCAUUAUGCAAAUGAGGAGACUGAUGACGUCAUCCACUCACUAUUUCAUUUGAUAUAUAGAAUAAGGUAUAUUCUAAUUUUCUCCUUGUCAUGUUAAACAAAAUUUUAUUCCUCCCUGAUCAUGUGGAAUUAGCAUUAUUCAAUACUUUU